ACAGAUAUAAGUUAAAUAUGUAAACUAUUGGUCUUCAAAACCAAAAAUUUUAAUCUGUA
rnacentral:tRNA from 1 species